AAUGUCGUAACAAGGUCUCCGUUGGUGAACCAGCGGAGGGAUCAUUAGCGAGUUAUUAAAAGCUCCAAAAUCCCAUGUGAACAUACCGUCUGUUGCCUCGGCAGGUCGUGCCGCCGGGUGGUUUGCCUACCCUGUAACAAGAUACCCUGUAGCUACCCUAGAGGAGCUACCCUUGUAACGGUUACCCUGUAGGUGCUACCCUGCAGCACGCACCCGGCCUGUCGAAGGUCCCCUUUAACUCUGUUUAAUCUGUAUCUCUGAGUCUUAUAUGGAAAUAAGUUUAAAG
rnacentral:misc_RNA from 1 species